UACGAAGGGUGCUAGCGUUGUUCGGAAUCACUGGGCGUAAAGCGCGCGUAGGCGGCUUUGCAAGUCAGGGGUGAAAUCCCACGGCUCAACCGUGGAACUGCCUUUGAAACUGCAAAGCUAGAGUGUCGGAGGGGAUAGCGGAAUUGCUAAUGUAGAGGUGAAAUUCGUAGAUAUUAGCAGGAACACCGGUGGCGAAGGCGGCUAUCUGGACGACAACUGACGCUGAGGCGCGAAAGCGCGGGGAUCAAACAGG
rnacentral:rRNA from 1 species